GGGGGCAUAGCUCAGUUGGGAGAGCAACAGACUGAAGUUUGGUGCCAACGAAUGUUUGUUCUGGAGGUCCCCAGUUCAAUCCUGGGUGCCCCCA